ensembl:miRNA dre-mir-728 microRNA 728
CAUCUUCUGAGGAAAUGUAGUAGACUAUAAGUAUACAGUGAACAUGAACGUAUACUAAGUACACUACGUUUUCUCAAGAGGUG